rnacentral:rRNA from 1 species
GACAGAGGGGGCAAGCGUUGCUCGGAAUCACUGGGCGUAAAGGGCGCGUAGGCGGUCUGUUAUGUCGGAUGUGAAAGCCCUCGGCUCAACUGAGGAAGUGCAUCCGAAACUGGCAGGCUAGAGUAUGUAAGAGGGUCGCGGAAUUCCCGGUGUAGAGGUGAAAUUCGUAGAUAUCGGGAGGAACACCGGUGGCGAAGGCGGCGACCUGGGACAAUAC